UACGUAGGGCGCAAGCGUUGUCCGGAAUUAUUGGGCGUAAAGAGCUCGUAGGCGGCUUGUCACGUCGGGUGUGAAAGCCCGGGGCUUAACCCCGGGUCUGCAUUCGAUACGGGCAGGCUAGAGUGUGGUAGGGGAGAUCGGAAUUCCUGGUGUAGCGGUGAAAUGCGCAGAUAUCAGGAGGAACACCGGUGGCGAAGGCGGAUCUCUGGGCCUUACCUGACACUGAGGAGCGAAAGCGUGGGGAGCGAACAGG
rnacentral:rRNA from 1 species